AAAUCUCUAACAUGUAAACCCGCCUUAUCUGACUUAACAAGAGAUAUCAGGCUUUUAUCAACUUGGUGCUCAUGGUCAUUAUACAUAACCAUCUGACCAUCUUCUUGAGCAGUUAAAUUAUGGUGCUGUGCUCCCUGAAAAGAUGGUCUAGCAUAACAGCAAACAGACAAUACUGAAGAGGAUAUCUCCCGACUUCUCAAGGGAACAUUAUCAAGUAUUUCAGUAAAAGGAGAGCUACGCAAGUUUAAAUAGAAGCUGAUGGCAUCCAGUAUAUCCCUAGCUGCCUUUCCGAGCAGGGCAAAUAUGUCAGGCAAUCCUCCUGGAGGGAAUUCCAUGGAAUUAUUCGGCUCUGUAGGAGUCAGGCCUGGUCUAUAAUCAAAGGUUUCCUGCCACAGCUGAGGAUCAGCAUAGUAACCAGAUGUCUUGCACCAUUCGCGAGAAUCAUUGGUAUGAAUCAUAUCCGCAGAGGGGUAUGAUGAUCUUUGAUGGAAGUAAAGGCGAGCAGAAUCCAAACCGGAUCUCAGAAGCGCCCCAUCGAUUCCCGAGAAUUGAAUGAUGGCAGCAGAAUAUUGAGCAAGCGACUGUGACAAAGUGGAGACUGAGAGUUUGUACGAAUCAGAGGGAAGGCCUUCAGAGGGAAUAAGAUCACUGAGCUUCACACGACCCAAAGAUGGCACUGGCAGGCCAUUGCCUGCCAUGAAAUUGUCAGAGUUACCUGUGCUAAAGCUUAAACGGAAAUCCAGAAGCCAACUUUAAAGAGCUGAUAUGUUAAUUUGGAGAAUCGAAUACGAAAUUUGAUGAAACCCGGAUUAGGGUUCGCAGAGAGAGAGAGAGAGAGAGAGGGGCUGCAGUAACUUUGGCUAUUGGAUCCUUCUUCGUUUGUCCGUUCUUCCAAUUUUCAUGCC
rnacentral:misc_RNA from 1 species